GGGAUUGUGGUUUGGCUCCUUCAUUGGGGCCUGACCGCGAGAACUUGUCUAAACCUUAUCAUUUAGAGGAAGGUGAAGUCGUAACAAGGUUUCCGUAGGUGAACCUGCGGAAGGAUCAUUA
rnacentral:rRNA from 1 species